AACGAACGCUGGCGGCAUGCCUAACACAUGCAAGUCGAACGAGACCUUCGGGUCUAGUGGCGCACGGGUGCGUAACGCGUGGGAACCUUCCCUUAGGUUCGGAAUAACUCCCCGAAAGGGGUGCUAAUACCGGAUAAUGUCUUCGGACCAAAGAUUUAUCGCCUUUGGAUGGGCCCGCGUUGGAUUAGCUAGUUGGUAGGGUAAAAGCCUACCAAGGCGACGAUCCAUAGCUGGUCUGAGAGGAUGAUCAGCCACACUGGGACUGAGACACGGCCCAGACUCCUACGGGAGGCAGCAGUGGGGAAUAUUGGACAAUGGGCGAAAGCCUGAUCCAGCAAUGCCGCGUGAGUGAUGAAGGCCUUAGGGUUGUAAAGCUCUUUUAACCGGGAUGAUAAUGACAGUACCGGGAGAAUAAGCUCCGGCUAACUCCGUG
rnacentral:rRNA from 1 species